GGCCGCGGGAAUUCGAUUGGAACACGUGUGCAACCUGCCUUUAUCUGGGGGAUAGCCUUUCGAAAGGAAGAUUAAUACCCCAUAAUAUUUUGAAUGGCAUCAUUUAAAAUUGAAAACUCCGGUGGAUAGAGAUGGGCACGCGCAAGAUUAGAUAGUUGGUAGGGUAACGGCCUACCAAGUCAGUGAUCUUUAGGGGGCCUGAGAGGGUGAUCCCCACACUGGUACUGAGACACGGACCAGACUCCUACGGGAGGCAGCAGUGAGGAAUAUUGGACAAUGGGUGAGAGCCUGAUCCAGCCAUCCCGCGUGAAGGACGACGGCCCUAUGGGUUGUAAACUUCUUUUGUACAGGGAUAAACCUUUCCACGUGUGGAAAGCUGAAGGUACUGUACGAAUAAGCACCGGCUAACUCCGUG
rnacentral:rRNA from 1 species